rnacentral:rRNA from 1 species
AACGUAGGAGACGAACGUUACCCGGAGUUACUGGGCGUAAAGGGCGUGUAGGCGGUUUGUUAAGUCUGGCGUGAAAGCUCUCGGCUAAACCGGGAGAGGUCGUUGGAUACUGGCGAACUAGAGGAUGGUAGAGGCGUGUGGAAUUCCCGGUGUAGUGGUGAAAUGCGUAGAUAUCGGGAGGAACACCAGUGGCGAAGGCGACUACCUGGCCUGUUUCUUGACGCUGAGGCGCGAAAGCUAGGGGAGCAAACGGG